rnacentral:rRNA from 1 species
UACGUAGGGUGCAAGCGUUGUCCGGAAUUAUUGGGCGUAAAGAGCUCGUAGGCGGUUUGUCGCGUCUGCUGUGAAAACCUGGGGCUUAACCCUGGGCCUGCAGUGGGUACGGGCAGACUAGAGUGCGGUAGGGGAGACUGGAAUUCCUGGUGUAGCGGUGAAAUGCGCAGAUAUCAGGAGGAACACCAAUGGCGAAGGCAGCUCGCUGGGACGGUACUGACGCUGAGACGCGAAAGCGUGGGGAGCAAACAGG